rnacentral:lncRNA from 1 species
AGAGGAAAGAAAAACAAGCCACCGAGUAACUACAGCCCAACAGCAGUGACUCGAAUUGCUCUGAAGGACACAUUCCACUGUGGAAAAGGAUGACCUGGAAUUCUGUCCAAACCGAAGCUCAGGGCAGAGCAGUGUGUCAAAGGUCACCGAGGCAAAAAGUAGGCCAGCGAGGAGCAGAAGCACUUCCUCCGACCACUGACCACCACCAGGGUCCCAAGGGAGGAAGAGGAAUCCCCAACCCUUCACUGCCUGGCGCCAGGUCACAUAGCCGUCACACCACCUUAAUUCUGGUCCUAAGCCAGGUUCCAGUCGUUGGAAGAAGAAACAAGAAUGAGAUAGAAACAAAAUAUGCCAGUUCCCGUCCCUUGGCCAGAAGACAGAUAUCAGAGGUCCCAGCAGAAUUACAAAUGCUGAGAAACCCCAGGGUUGUCUGUGAACUCAGCAGAAGGAGCUGCAGUGUCUCAGGGGAAGACCGCCUUAAGCAUCUGUGAGGAGGGAGCGCUUACCCUGAGCCCUAAAGAACAAGCGGGGCUCAGGCAGGAGUGUGCAGCGUGCUGCAGACAAAACCUGAAAAUACAAUAGUAAAAGAAGGGCCGAGGCAGCGGCAAGCUGGCCCCACUGAGAGAUGGAGAGAGGCUGCAGGUCCUUGAACCAUCCACAGGAAAGACUGAGACCUUAGGCCCGGCAGGGUGGGGCACACCAGUGAGCUCAGCACCGAGGAGGCUGAGUUGGGAGGAUCAGGAGUUCCAGGCCAACUUGGGCUACACAGAAGAGAAAGGAUAAAAAGGAAGUUUGAGAGAAUGGGAAAUAAGAAGGAAGGGAAGGAAGGAGGGAGAGAGAGAGGAAAGGCAGGAG